rnacentral:rRNA from 1 species
UCAAGCUAAUAAGAGCGCAAGGGGAAUGCCUUGGCAUCAGGAGCCGACGAAGGACGUGACAAGCUGCGAUAAGCUACGGUGAGGAGCAAAUAUCCUGUGACCCGUAGAUUUCCGAAUGGGGCAACCCGGCUGGACAAUAUCCAGUCAUCCUGCAUUGAAUCAAAUAGGUGUAGGAAGGGAACCGCCUGAACUGAAACAUCUAAGUAGGGCGAGGAAAAGACAUCAACCGAGAUUCCGCAAGUAGUGGCGAGCGAACGCGGAAGAGGCCAAACCGGAGGAUUUAUUCUCCGGGGUUGCGGACAGCUAUACGGAACAAUAGUUUAGCCGAACGGUCUGGGAAGGCCGGUCACAGAGGGUGAGAACCCCGUAGGCGAAAGACGAAUUGUUUCAGGCUGGAUCCAGAGUACCGCAGGACACGUGAAACCCUGUGGGAAACAGGGGGGACCACCCUCCAAGCCUAAAUACUACCUGAUGACCGAUAGAGGAGCAGUACCGUGAGGGAAAGGUGAAAAGGACCCCGGGAGGGGAGUGAAAGAGAACCUGAAACCUUGUGCUUACAAGCAGUCAAAGCACGUUAACGUGUGAUGACGUACUUUUUGUAGAACGGUCCGGCGAGUUAUAGUAACGAGCAAGCUUAAGGUAUUGAGUACCGGAGGCGAAGCGAGAGCGAGUCUGAAUAGGGCGUAAAGUUCGUUGCCAUAGACCCGAAACCGGGUGACCUAUCCAUGAGCAGGCUGAAGUGAGAGUAAAAUCUCAUGGAGGGCCGAACCGACCCCCGUUGCAAUGGUGGCGGAUGACUUGUGGAUAGCGGAGAAAUUCCAAUCGAACUCGGAGAUAGCUGGUUCUCCCCGAAAUAGCUUUAGGGCUAGCGUUAUGUUAGAUUACCGGAGGUAAAGCACUGAAUGGUGGCGGGGCCGAUAAGGUUACCAAGACCUAUCAAACUCUGAAUGCCGGAUAAUUGAUGCAUAGCAGUCAGACAGCGUGAGAUAAGUUUCGUUGUCAAAAGGGAAACAGCCCAGACCCACAGCUAAGGUCCCAAAUUCAUGCUAAGUGGAAAACGAUGUGGAAUUGCGAAAACAACCAGGAUGUUGGCUUAGAAGCAGCCACUCAUUAAAAGAGUGCGUAAUAGCUCACUGGUCGAGUGACUCUGCGCGGAAAAUAUAACGGGGCUAAGCAUGAAACCGAAGCUUGGGCUUGUCGUAAGACAGGGGUAGGGGAGCGUCGAGUAUGGGGUGAAGUCAGAGCGGAAGCACUGGUGGACUGUACUGGAGUGAGAAUGCCGGAAUGAGUAGCGAGAAUUAUGUGGGAAUCAUAAUGGCCGAAAAUCUAAGGUUUCUUGGGGAAGGUUCGUCCGCCCAAGGUAAGUCGGGAGCUAAGCUCAGGCCGAGAGGCGUAGGCGAUGCACAUACGGUAGAAAUUCCGUAACCACCGAAACUUAAACAGAGGGACACUUCGAAAUAGCGGAACCCGGGCGUUGGUUGACCCGGGCGAAAGGGAGCGAAAUUAGAGUAGCGAAGUCCGCGAUGUUCGGAGGCGAGAAAAGCUCUGAGGUAUGCUAAGGUGCCCGUACCGCAAACCGACACAGGUAGAUGAGGAGAGAAUCCUAAGGCCAACGGGAGAAGGGUUGUUAAGGAACUCGGCAAAUUGACCCCGUAACUUCGGAAGAAGGGGAGCCCCCUACGGGGGGUCGCAGAGAAAUGGCCCAAGCAACUGUUUACCAAAAACACAGGUCUAUGCUAAAUCGAAAGAUGACGUAUAUGGGCUGACGCCUGCCCGGUGCCGGAAGGUUAAGAGGAGAUGUCAGGCAACGAAGCAUUGAAUUUAAGCCCCGGUAAACGGCGGCCGUAACUAUAACGGUCCUAAGGUAGCGAAAUUCCUUGUCAGGUAAGUUCUGACCCGCACGAAUGG